AUCGCCUCCAAUGAUAAAGCAAUUUCUAAAUAUAUUUCUAGAAAGGGAAGCCUUAAGUUAUUAUGAACAGUAAUAAUAAUCGUUUAGUUCUUUGGCGUUAGGCUUCGUGUAAACACGGUUUAGGAAAUAAAGAAGACUUUGCGAGAGAAAAACUAGCGGAUAAAUAAAAUUAAAAAAGAUGAAAAUCGAAGAGACAAGCGAGGAAAGAGAGUUGUGUGAACUGUUGAUGAACAAGUUAUACUGUGACAUAGAUUUUCGUAAUAAGAUCGCCAAGCAAAGUUACGACGAAAUGCGAAAAGAGCUCGAAGAUAUGUUAGGGGAACGUCUGCAUUUGAUCCCGGAUAUAUAUUUGGAAAGUUUUUAUUAUUCGAAUUUUCCUGGAAAUUACGACAGACCGUCUUCCGAAAAACCCGACUGGCUAGAUUUAAAAAAGUUUCAAAGGGGCCAACAUUUCGCUCGCAAUAAUUUGGCUGGACUUUUCAUAGGACAGUUAUACGGUUUGCUCUGUCUACUUUGCCAUGCUGAAGGUCUACAAACGAUGAUAAUGACGCAGAAAUCUCACACGCCUUAUUUAGCGUUCAAAAGAUAUUUGUCGACCAGUCAACGUAUACGCAACUGGUACACGGAAGAUCCUUGGUGCGAAGAUACGAAAGCGUACAAAGACAUUCAAACGGUCAAGAGAAUGCAUCUUGCUGCGAACAAAAAAAUCAGUGAACUUGAUUGCAAGGAAAUGGAAUCUAUGAGUACUAUAAAAAAUCCUUACUGUCCGGCCUUUCGAUUUAUAACAGAUGAUUUUUCCAGGAUAUUGCCACCAGACUCGUUGUUGGCUCGUUUAUAUGUAGAACAUUUGAAACAUUUGCGUAGAAAUUUAAUGAGAAUUAAUCAGAUUGAGAUGAACUAUACUCUUUUCGGGUUUAUGGGCCUGGCCAUACUUUUCCCUCAUCGUUUUGGUAUUUACCCGGUGAUAGACGAGGAUCUCGAAAAUUUUUGUUACGUCUGGAGGUGUAUCGGUUAUCUCUUGGGAGUGGACGACAAAAUAAAUAUUUGCCGGGGCAGUUUGAAAGACGUAAAGGGCCGUUGCCAAAGGUACAUAGACGAAUUGGUGAAACCUGCGUUUCAAAGACUCGAGCCACAAUGGGAACAUAUGAUAAGAUGCAUCAUCGAAGGAAAUUGUUAUUUUAUGACCAAUUGUAACUUUGAGACAGUAAUCUUGUGCAUUGCCGAUAUAAUUAACAUCGAAAUGCCGUCUUUGUACUUUUCGUUGAAUUACUAUCAACGGAUCGUUUACUAUUUAAAUAAAUAUUUCCUACAAUACGGAUUGCAAUAUUCGUUUAUACGGCGUUUCGUUAAUAAAUUGUUUAAUUCAUUGCUCGACGGUGCUCUCAAUUUCGACGACUCGAAAAUUGCCGAAUUGAAGAAAAAAUCGAUGAAUUCGGUAUUGCACGUUUCCGUUGGCAAAUGAUAUAGCAUUUGUGUACGCAGCGACGCUAAUUUUUGCUAAAUGAGACGCUAAAAAAAAAAAAAGAAACGGCAGUAUCAAAGGACAGAUUAAAAAUUAUUGAAUAACCAUUUGAUAAAUCGGAGCAUAGUUCGAUUAUGUAACCUCUUUAAUGUCGUCAUUGUUAUCGAUGCUGGAUACGUAGAGGAUAUAUCAUAUGUAAUAGGUUCAUAAAGUAAAACAGCUCGAGGAGUGACGUGUAAAAUAAUUCUUGAAUGAGGCGGCACUUGGAAAGGACGUUUGAAAGGCCUUUGUUAAUCGGUACGCGAAUUAAUAGAAAGUUCAAUCGCGCGCGCGUAAUACGUAACGUACCAUACGUAAGCGCUUUUUUCUUUCACCUUCUCUGAUUGGUCUGUCCGUUCAACGUAUGAAAAUCUUUCUUUGGAGCGACAAAGGCAAAUCGCAAUAUCCCAUAUAGUCAAUCGAAAUCAUAACCUCUUUAAGGGAUGCUCGAUUCAAUGAAAAAAUCCUCGAUUGCGAACAAAUACAAAAAUGGAUUUGAAUCUGCAUUGAAUCUUCAAGUGUACAAAAGUUAUUUUCCACCAGAGUCCGACUAUAGAUACGUACAAAUAUCGAUUUAAUUCAUAAAUAAUGC